rfam:Clostridium tetanomorphum DSM 665 contig35, whole genome shotgun sequence.
AAAUAUAUCUAGGGGAGCCUAUAAAUAGGCUGAGAGUGAGAUGUGAGCUCAGACCCUCAUAACCUGAUUUGGGUAAUACCAGCGUAGGGAAGAACUUUGUAUAAUAU